GCUGCACGCAGCGAUGGCGUCGAGGCCUCGAGGGUCGGGAUCGAAGUGUCGAACUGCCUGGCUGCCUCCGCGGUGAAGUAUGCUGCUGCCUGCCGCGCGCGGCGAGCCGGCGACGACCAAACCUUACUGCUCAGAGCCACAGAGGGAGCAGUACAACUCUGAGUGACCCACACAGCAUGUCAUUUGUACAUGAGGUAGCCGUACAAGAACUCAUUCCAGACAUCAGGAACACCCGGGAGGCACCAGUGCGUGCAAUCCGCGUAGCUGGCUGGGUUCGCCAUCUGUUCUUUUGUCAGAGGGGCAAACUGUCUCCUGAACACCGUCGGGUGCCCGUCCUUACGGAUGCAGGAGUAGUGCUUGUACUGAACUCACCAGGAAUGUGUAGGCGAUGAUCCUGCGAAAAAGAUUCUAGUCUUCUUCUUGUCUAUGUUCUCUCCCAGCCAUUCGGCUUAUGCUUCCUCCACCACACGUAAGAAUUGAAGAUAAUGAUGUCAGCAUCCCUCCAGGCAUUGGCAUGCUUCUCAAUUCUGUCUGCCCUUAUGAUCCGAUACUCCACCCGGUGAAUAAUGGGGUCAUCGCUGUUGGACUCCACCAGCAGCGGUGACCAGUAGAAGUCUAUUGUUGCAUUGUAUUCCUAAAAUAAUAAAUUAAUAAUCUUUUUUUGGAUCGGCUAAUGGAAAUCAUUGGAUUUAUAGUAGCCUUUAGAUUUAUGCAGGAAAAAACAUACAAAUGCCUUGAAGGAGAUGAGUGAGCCAUUGAAGACACGCAUCUUGAGCCUGUCAUCAGGUAUAGAGGCCUCCACCAUACACACCAGGGAAACCCAUUGGUUCCUGUUGAGUACAGUAGCUCUGUAAAGCAUGGAUGAGGAGAAACAUCUGCAAGCAACACUGGACAGUGGUAAAGUUGUUGCGUAUUUAUAGCAUAUGAGAUGGAUCCUUGCAAAGCUUAGAUGAGCUGGUGGGUACUUCCACGGCACGGAGCAGAAGCAAGUCGCUAUCAUGGGAUACCUGUUACCUAAUGCUUGCUACUCCACAUGGUUCCCUCAGGGAUCAGACUGCUGGUUACUUCCUGAAAGUCCAAGGAGAGUCAGUACAACUGCUAUGGACAUCAGCAAGUAUGUUCUUGUCAUCUUGCUCUGGUGUAAAAGACAGCAAUUAAGUGGGCUUCAGCUAGCUGCAAAGGCAAGUAGUAGUUGGAAUGCUUUCCGUCGAUUAACUCCCAUGAUUCCAAAUAUAAUAUGCACCGACAUCCUGGACCAUAACGUAAUUCGUUUAAGAUUAUUCUCUAAAUGUAAGUUGUUACAGGACUUGGGAGAGCUUGUUCCCCAUUUUUUCCUCAUGAGUAAAUGAGGCUUCGUUUCCAAA